ensembl:lncRNA
UACAGAUGUCUACAUAAAGUGCUAAAUGUUUUAGUUGUGCAAAGACUAUUUAUCAAGCAGUUAAUGUUCCAUGAAUGUAUUUUCAGAUUUCUGCAAUAUGCUACACUUCAAACUUCCUUCUCCAUUAUAUCAUUCUCUGCUCCAUGAACUGUUUUUAUGAAGCAGCACAAAACCAAUAAAAAGGUUUGUGCAUCAAAACCCAAUAUCUACUGUCCACUACUAUCAAAAGAUUUCUACAAUACGCUACACUUAAAACUUCCUUCUCCAUUAUAUGAUUGUCCGCUCCAUGAUCUGUUUUUAUGAAGCAGCACAAAACUGAUAAGAAGGUAAAUUAAAUUCAUAUAUCUGCAAAACUUGAAGUGACUCCUUUCUUAAAGCAGUCUUUCACCUGUUGAUACAUUUUCAGGUUUGUGCAUCAAAACCCAAUAUCUACUGUCCACUACUAUCAAAAGGUGAGUGUGCAACUAACGUAGACAUCUGUACAAUGUUUUAGUUGUGUAAACACUAUUUAUCAAGCAGUUAAUGUUCCAUGAAUGUAUUUUCAGAUUUCUGCAAUAUGCUACACUUCAGACUUCCUUCUCCAUUAUAUCAUUCUCUGCACCAUGAACUGUUUUUAUGAAGAGGCACACAACUGAUAAAAAGGUACAUUUAAUUGUAUGUCUGCAAAACUUGAAUUGAUUCAUUUCUUGAAACACCAUUUCACCACCUAAUAUAUUUUCAGGUUUGUGCAUUAAAACUCAAGAUCUAUUGUACCUCUAUUAGUUCUAUAUGUUUUUCUGUAAGUGUUUUAUCAAGCAGUUGAUGGUCCAUGAAUGUAUUUUCAGAUUUCUGCAAUACGCUACAUGUGAAACUUCGUCCUUAUCCUUUAUUUGAUUCUCCACUCCAUGAACUGUUUUUAUGAAGCAGCACAAAACCAAUAAAAAGGUAAAUUUAAUUCCUAUAAUAUCUGGA